GGCGAAAUAGCCCAGGGCAUACGGGCUUCUCUGGUGUGUGCAGGCACCCAGGAACAAUGAUUUGUGAAUGGUGAUUUCAGAAGCACAGAGUGAGGAACUGUUGGUCUCAGAACUAGGGACUAGAGCCAGGGUCAAGGGAUAAGAGAGGUGGCUGUGACCCUCACAACCUCAGAGAAUCAAAAGGGACCCAGCCAUAAUCAAGCCCGACUCCCAGCCUCCUGGAUGAGGAGCCUGCGGCCCGGGGCUUGAGGUCCUCCAGUGACAAGUGGCUCAUUACUUCCUGAGAAAGCAUUUCCUUAAUUCAGAAAAAUGUAUCCAAAGACCAAGGCCAAAUCUAUUCAACUAACUUAACCCCUUUGACACCUGGCUCUAACCCAGACCUCCAGAGAACAAUGUAAAUCUUCUCAAAUAGCUCUCUGGAUAUUUGGAAAUGACUAUCAUGCUCAAGAACCUUAUUUGACAAGCUUUCCAGACACCCCACUACCCAAACAGAAGAUAUCAGCUAUAGUUAUCCCACCCUCCUCCUGUGUUCUUGAUGAUACAGGAUGUUCUUGUCCCCUUAGCAGCCAAGACCUUUGAGACAGGCUUUAAUGCUGACAACUCCUCACAUGCAUGUAACCAAUUAAAUGGAUGCAUUGGCACAAAUCUUUCAUUCCAUUAUAAGAAGUUUAGGAUUUAGGCAGGAUCAUUAUUCCUAUUUUACAGAUAAGGAAACUGAGCCUCAGGAAGAUGAAAUGAUUUACCUGAGAUUACAGAGCCAGAAAAAGGGAAAACCAAGACAUAAACCUGUCCUUUUGGCUUCUAUCUCUAGGGCCCCAGUAAUGGUUUGGAUAUGAGGUAUCCCCCAAAAGUUCCUGUUCAGAGGUGAAAUGAUUGGAUUAUGAGAGCUGAAACCUAAUCAGUUCAUUCUAGUUUGAGUGGACUGAUUGGGUGGUGACUGUAGGCAGUGUGAAGCAUGGUUGGAGGAGGUAGGUCUCUAGAGGCUGCCUUAGAAGGAUUCAACUUCCCUGUGGCCCCUCCCUCUGCUUCCUGGCCAUCAUGAGCAGAGCAUGAGCUGGUGUUCCUCCACCAUGUCCUUCUGUCAUGACAUUUGCCUCACUUGGGCCCAGAGCAAUGGAGUCAGC
rnacentral:lncRNA from 1 species